rnacentral:rRNA from 1 species
GACGAACCGUGCGAACGUUGUUCGGAAUCACUGGGCUUAAAGGGCGCGUAGGCGGCCGCACGAGUCCGGGGUGAAAGCCCCCAGCUCAACUGGGGAAGGGCCUCGGAUACCGGGCGGCUCGAGGGGGGUAGGGGCGGACGGAACUUCCGGUGGAGCGGUGAAAUGCGUUGAUAUCGGAAGGAACGCCGGUGGCGAAAGCGGUCCGCUGGGCCCUUACUGACGCUGAGGCGCGAAAGCCAGGGGAG